UAUAGUUUCCGUCCGGGGCAUAAUAAAUGCUGAGGACAGCGCUGAGGACGUAGGCGAAGGUGGCGCUGAUGGCACCGCAUACCAUUGAGCCGAUCGAGCCAAUGAGGGCGUAAGUCCACUCUGGGGAGUUCAUUUUGGCGAGGCGCCAAAAGGAGCUUGCCUGAUCUCGGAACGCGAUCUUCUCGACACGCUGAUUGGCAUCGACCGAGAGGCUGAAGUCGGCUGUUGAGAAGUCGGAUAGGCGUCGGGAGUAGGGGGAUCUCCCGUAGGAUGAGUUCCUGCAGAUGAUUGGCGAGCUGACAGAGUUUCGAGCACUUGAAGGCCUUGCACUGCUCUUUCUGGCA
rnacentral:misc_RNA from 1 species